UAGGAAACCCAAACCACAACAAGUAUGGCUUUGCUUUCUGUUCUAAAUCAUUUAGUUUCUUUGCAUCCUUUAUGCUAUAUUUUAUAUGUAGAGGGAAAAAGCUAUACAAAGAGCCUUCGGGUGCAAUGUUAUACUAUGGUGAACAUUGUGUUGCAAUCGUCUGCGCCCUAGAGCCACGAGUCCUUGAAAGCAAACCUAGGCGACCAAAGAACAUGGCCAACACUUUGAACGCAUCAGAUGUCGCUCAUUAUUGGAAACAAAGCGUCUGCAUCUUCGAUAGGCGAAAAGAGCCAGAUUAUUGAUGAUGAUGAUUAUGGCCAGGCCCUAAUGAAGGCAGCGGCUAAUGGAAGUGCUCCGGAGUCUGACAAUUGAGCCAUUCCGGCACUUCGACAGAUGCGCCGAGUAGUUGCGUCUAGUUCUGGCCGAUUGUCCUGCCGCAGUGGCAUUAAUUACACUUUGACUCGAUAAAUUGAUUCGGCAUGGACGUGCCGAAGUUCGAACUUGGUCCACCCAUUGACUGGAUGGGAAAUCGCUUAAUAUGUAUUAACAUUUAUUGCCGGCGAAAGUUUCGGAGCGAGGGAGCAAAUAAAGAAAGCCAAGGGCAGGCCGGAAAUUGCCGAAUACUGAUACUUCCGCCGGAAAUAAGUUCAGUUCUUGUUGUUCACGCUGCUUGAGGUGACUCCUUAUCCUCCUGCCUUCCUUCUCAGGAGUAAAUUAAGUUAAGGUCGUUGCCACUCUAUCUAUCAGUCGAUCAAACACGAAGGACAACGCCUAAACGGCGCCUCCAUCUCAGCUAUCAAUGGAAACACAUUUUAGAUUCACAUUCGUCGCACAAGGCGACUUAAUUGCCGCCCAAUCCCCGGUUCACAGCACUUUGCACAAUAAACAGAUCAUAAUCUGGCUAAAA
rnacentral:sRNA from 1 species